UACGUAGGGGGCAAGCGUUGUCCGGAUUUAUUGGGCGUAAAGAGCGUGUAGGCGCCAGGUAGGUCCGUUGUGAAAACUCGAGGCUCAACCUCGAGACGUCGGCGGAAACCCUCUGGCUAGAGUCCGGAAGAGGAGAGUGGAAUUCCUGGUGUAGCGGUGGAAUGCGCAGAUAUCAGGAGGAACACCGGUGGCGAAGGCGGGUCUCUGGGCAGUAACUGACGCUGAGGAGCGAAAGCGUGGGGAGCGAACAGG
rnacentral:rRNA from 1 species